rnacentral:rRNA from 1 species
AGGAUAAACGCUGGCGGCGUGCCUAAUACAUGCAAGUCGAGCGGCAGCGCGGUCUUCGGACUGGCGGCGAGCGGCGGACGGCUGAGUAACACGUAGGAACGUACCCCAAAGUGAGGGAUAAGCACCAGAAAUGGUGUCUAAUACCGCAUGUGCUCUAAGGAGUAAAGCUUCGGCGCUUUGGGAACGGCCUACGCAUGAUUAGCUUGUUGGUGAGGUAAUGGCUCACCAAGGCGACGAUCAUUAGCUGGUCUGAGAGGAUGAUCAGCCAGACUGGGACUGAGAACGGCCCAGACUCCUACGGGAGGCAGCAGUAGGGAAUUUUCCACAAUGGGCGAAAGCCUGAUGGAGCAACGGCCGCGUGCAGGAUGAAGGCCUUAGGGUUGUAAACUGCUUUUAUGUGUGACGAUAUGACGGUAGCAUAUGAAUAAGGAUCGGCUAACUCCGCGCCAGCAGCCGCGGU